rnacentral:rRNA from 1 species
AUCCAGACUCCUACGGGAGGCAGCAGUGGGGAAUAUUGCACAAUGGGGGAAACCCUGAUGCAGCAACGCCGCGUGAGUGAAGAAGUCAUUCGUGAUGUAAAGCUCUAUCAGCAGGGAAGAAAAUGACGGUACCUGAGUAAGAAGCCCCGGCUAACUACGUGCCAGCAGCCGCGGUAAUACGUAGGGGGCAAGCGUUAUCCGGAUUUACUGGGUGUAAAGGGGGCGCAGACGGCAAUGCAAGCCAGGAGUGAAAGCCCGGGGCCCAACCCCGGGACUGCUCUUGGAACUGCAUGGCUGGAGUACAGGAGGGGCAGGCGGAAUUCCUAGUGUAGCGGUGAAAUGCGUAGAUAUCAGGAGGAACACCGGCGGCGAAGGCGGCCUGCUGGACCGUGACUGACGCUGAGGCUCGAAAGCGUGGGGAGCAAACAGGAUUAGAUACCCCAGUA